GGCAAUGGGGCUGCAGGCAUUGUCUGGGUGAGCCUCCACAAGGAAGCCCUGAAGUCCCUCCUGGCUCAAAGCAGCCCCAAAGAGAGCUGGGAGGUCUGCAAAGUCCAUGCUGGCAUUGUGGUCCGAGAUCGCUCGAAUGAGCCCCCGGCUGGGGGCCGCUCCCCACAGCACAGUGACCACAACCACAGGAAGCGGGAAGGCCGCAGGGUGCAUGGCAGCGGGAGGAGAGGCGGAGGGGGCCGAGUCCGGGUAACAGGAACAGAACCGGAGUUCUGCGCCCUCUCUGGCCCUCCUUCAGGAUCCCAGGGGUCCAACCACCCCCAGGUCCCACUUCCCAGCUACAUGGGGGCUCGGGGAAGGACCUCCGACUCGGGGAGUGAGGUACCCAACUAGUCUAUUGGAGCUGGGAGGGAGAGACUAAAAAUAAUCCUUUUCUGGUAUAGUAAUAAAACUGGGAAAGGGAACGGAGACCAGCACAGGUGACAGAAAAACUUCUGGAAGGGUGGAGCUCAAAGGGGCGGGACUUCCGGCCAGGUGGGCCGUCUUCCCAUCCCCUGGAAAAGAGUUUCCGGCAAAGAAAGUCAGGCCGCUUCCAGCAUUGGACGCUCACGACUAAGGACAUCCGGUUCUGUCCUCCUGGCCGCCGCGGUACCUUCAAGUCUUCGCGAGAGGCCUCAGCACCUUUCCCCCCCACCAGCUGACAUCUUCCUCAACUCUACCUUGGCUCCAGCUCAGGCUAACACUAUUAGGAAGUGAAUUCCAUCCUGAUUCAACCCCUGCUGCUGCUGCUGCUAAGUCGCUUCAGUCGUGUCCGACUCUGUGCGACCCCAUAGACGGCAGCCCACCAGGCUCCCCCGUCCCUGGGAUUCUCCAGAAAAUGUUUGCAUUUUGUCCUGGGAACAUAAAGAAGAAACCUCAUUAACCAUGCAGCGGAGAAGGAUUAGUAUCUAAAUACCUGUGUUUAAUAGAGAUGCUAGCAUUUAUUCUCUUUUAGGGCUCCUUGAGAAAGGAUGUGGCUAUUGGAUCCUGCUUGUCAUAAAUGGAAGUCUGGAACCCUGCAGUCUCCCUAAGUUGUCUUCACUCACUUCCCACCCCACCUAUCUAUAGUAUUUAGCAACUGCCCCGAUGAUUGAUGUGUGGCUUUGACCUUCAUGCUGAAUUGUGACCAUGACUUUUUAUUCUAGUACUUUGUUCGCUGGAUCAGACAAAGGCUGAGAGUUUUUUUAUCCCAGGAUAAUACCGCUUGAACUUCAGUGGCUACUUCAAGGAUCGUAGAAUAUUGAGCUGAAAUUUAGAUCAUUGUCCCCUUAUUAGUGAGGAGGACACAGGCUCACAGAUGGGAAGUUCCUUGCUCGAGAUGGGUUUAGUAACAGAGCUAGUCUGGGAGCUCAUUUACCUGAUUUCCAGCACAGACUUUUCCUGCCUUGCUCCAUUCCAUGUAUUUCUCAUUCUCUCUCUC
ensembl:lncRNA